CUGAAGUGUCCAGAGUCAGCAAAAUCUUUUAUUUCUGCCAGAUAAACAAGCUUUCUCUUGCCCUUCUGUGUCUUUCCUGUUUGUUUGUCACGCACUUCCUCCUCCCGUCUGAUUUCUCGACUCUCUCCCUUUAGUUCCACACGUUGAUUCACUGUCGGAGGUUGUGCUAAGUCGAGCAGAGCAGGUUCGGUUAUGGGAAAAGUCCUUGGCAAAGCCGGAACAACUUGUUUGUUUUUGCCUCCCUGUUCUGCAUUUUUGGUACAGACGUCUCUGAGGGAGCUGGGAUUGCUGUUGUGGCUGCUUAGAGCCCAGUAAGACCAGCACCGGAAGCUAAACGCCCGAUCCUCUGCAGCAUUUCCCCUUUGCUUCUAUCAGCCUUCGCUGGGGGAGAGAGACAAGGGAGUCAACUGUGAAUCAUCUAGCCAGAUAUUGGUAAGAGAACUCAACUGCCCAUUCAACACUGGCAAGAACUUUGAGUACAGCUGAGAACAUAGCAAGGCCCUAAUCACAAACCUGUGCUCAAUCAGGAGCUGCUAUCUGGAUAAUAUUCUGGCUGUGAAAGUUCUUCAAGACUCGGAGAAUUCUGAUACCGUGAAAACACACUCACUGAUGGGCUCCUGAAAAGAAAGUCAGAAGAUACAGAGACUGUUUCGAAGAUAAACAGCACCUGCUAUUGAGCAUAUAGAAGCUGGAAUGCUGAAAACAUUUACCAAGCCUCCUGAACUGGCAAGGAGAUUAAAGAUAAGAAACUGAUUUCUGAAAUCUCUGUCUUGCUUUAAUAGAUCUAUUAAAUGAAUGUUCACCUCUAUCAAGAGUCUUAAUAAAUUGAAACAAGUCAGUAAUCAAGCCUAACAACCAUAAGGGGAAUGAACCUGUAGUACAAGGUUGACUGUUCCAGAUGUUGCAAAUCACCCCAAUUUGUCAUUUCUGACAUUCAGAGCUGGAACGUGACCACUUUCUUGUGUUAUGUUGUACCACUGGAGAUUGCAUGAUGGAUUGAGAUCACUGUCAUGUAGGUUAGUUUUCAAGGAUGAAAAAAAAAAAUUCCACACAACUCAAGACAAAUGUAAUCAUACUGUCUGUCAACAGUAAUCUCCUUGGUAAUAUCACUUAUCGGAUAAUAACUGCAAGUGUUAAAGUCAUCAUUGCCCAUUGCCCUCACAAUUACCAAGCAGUUGCAUACGGGUGACCAUAAUAUUAUUCCUGCUGCUGUUAAGACAGGAAAUGAGGGGUGGUAAAAUGAAGAGAAACAUCGCUAAAUGUCAUAAGGCUGUUGUAUUGUUUCACAAGCUGUAUUGAAAUUAGAGAUGAAGAAUAGUCUGUCAUUCUAAAAAAAAAAAAAAAAAUUGAAAUACA